GGCGAACGGGUGAGUAACACGUGGGCAACCUGCCCUCAGCUCUGGGAUAACUCCAAAAAAUUGGUGCUAAUACCGGAGGUGACCGCUGACCGCAGGGUCUGGUGGUGGAAAGAUUCAUCGGCUGAGGAUGGGCCCGCGGCCUAUCACCUUGUUGGUGGGGUAAUGGCCCACCAAGGCGACAACGGGUAGCCGGCCUGAAAGGGUGACCGGCCACACUGGGACUGAAACACGGCCCAAACUCCUACGGGAGGCAGCAGUGGGGAAUAUUGCGCAAUGGGCGAAAGCCUGACGCACCGACCCCCCGUGAGGGAUGACGGCCUUCGGGUUGUAAACCUCUUUCAUUAGGGACAAACCGAAAGUGACGGUACCUACAGAAAAAGCACCGGCCAACUACUUGCCACCAGCCGCGGUAAUACGUAGGGUGCAAGCGUUGUCCGGAAUUAUUGGGCGUAAAGAGCUCGUAGGCGGUCUGUCGCGUCGGCUGUGAAAACCCGAGGCUCAACCUCGGGCCUGCAGUCAAUACGGGCAAACUAAAGUACUGCAGGG
rnacentral:rRNA from 2 species